rnacentral:rRNA from 1 species
UCCUACGGGGAGGCAGCAGUAGGGAAUCUUCCACAAAUGGACGCAAGUCUGAUGGAGCAACUCCGCGUGAGUGAAGAAGGCUUUCGGGUCGUAAAACUCUGUUGUUGGAGAAGAAUAAAAAGGCAGAGUAACUGUUGUCGGCGUGACGGUAUCCAACCAGAAAGCCACGGCUAACUACGUGCCAGCAGCCGCGGUAAUACGUAGGUGGCAAGCGUUAUCCGGAUUUAUUGGGCGUAAAGCGAGCGCAGGCGGUUUUUUAAGUCUGAUGUGAAAGCCCUCGGCUUAACCGAGGAAGCGCAUCGGAAACUGGGAAACUUGAGUGCAGAAGAGGACAGUGGAACUCCAUGUGUAGCGGUGAAAUGCGUAGAUAUAUGGAAGAACACCAGUGGCGAAGGCGGCUGUCUGGUCUGUAACUGACGCUGAGGCUCGAAAGCAUGGGUAGCGAACAGGAUUAGAUACCCUGGUAGUCCAUGCCGUAAACGAUGAAUGCUAGGUGUUGGAGGGUUUCCGCCCUUCAGUGCCGCAGCUAACGCAUUAAGCAUUCCGCCUGGGGAGUACGACCGCAAGGUUGAAACUCAAAUGAAUUGACGGA